CCUACGGGGGGCAGCAGUGGGGAAUAUUGGACAAUGGGCGAAAGCCUGAUCCAGCCAUGCCGCGUGUGUGAAGAAGGCCUUCGGGUUGUAAAGCACUUUCAGUGGGGAAGAAAGCCUUGGGGCUAAUACCCUCGAGGAAGGACAUCACCCACAGAAGAAGCACCGGCUAACUCCGUGCCAGCAGCCGCGGUAAUACGGAGGGUGCGAGCGUUAAUCGGAAUUACUGGGCGUAAAGCGCGCGUAGGCGGUCUGAUAAGCCGGUUGUGAAAGCCCCGGGCUCAACCUGGGAACGGCAUCCGGAACUGUCAGGCUAGAGUGCAGGAGAGGAAGGUAGAAUUCCCGGUGUAGCGGUGAAAUGCGUAGAGAUCGGGAGGAAUACCAGUGGCGAAGGCGGCCUUCUGGACUGACACUGACGCUGAGGUGCGAAAGCGUGGGUAGCAAAGAGGAUUAGAUACCCCGGUAGUC
rnacentral:rRNA from 1 species